AUUUCGUCCCUCUUUCGACAGUAUAUUGUCUGCAGCCAAUAUACUUAUCAAAAAAAAAGCGAAAUAUCCGAAGAUCCACUACCAACAACAAGUUGGAAGUGUGACACAUCGAAGUAUCAAGCCACCUGAUACCUCUUCACUGAACCAGAAGCUCACAACCAUUACUAUCGUAACAUCAAUUUUACAAGUCGACAUUCGAACUUAGAACGACCCUGAACCGACUCACAG
rnacentral:lncRNA from 1 species